ACUUCCCCUUGUUCCCAGCAAAGUGAUUUACUUUCACAGCUCCGUGUCGUGCAGCCGGAGCUGCUCAGUGCCCUGCUAGAGCUUCAAGUUAAAAGUUCAGCAGCGGGGCGGUGAGUCCGUCACGCUGUGAUUUACUGGUGCUGGCUGCCAGCAGAGGAGCACGUUCCCCUGCCAGGCCCUCAUGCAAACUCAGAUGCUGGAAAGGGGCUUCGCUGCCGGCUGCUGACAGAAGCCGUGCAGGAGAGCUGUGCUACGGGUAACCUAUGUGAGCGAACACGUUCACCACCAAACUUGUCCGCAGCUACUUUCUGUUGAGGGGGGUGGAGGCGGAUUCCAACAAUAUUUUAUCAUGGGCAAACCAGGAGCGGAAAGCGCGAAGAGAAGAUUUCUGUCAUGAGAUCGCAGGCAAUUCUCCUGGGAGGCUGCUGCUGUGAUUCAGACAGCCCUGAAGAGGUUCUUUCUUCCGGUGGACUACCUCAGCCUUUGCAGUAACCUGAAAUCCACACGCUACCAAGGUGGCUGGAAGCCACUUCUGCUGCCUUGCAUCUUCUGCGGCGAACAGGAAAAUAUUGGCUUGCUUCUUCGGCGUGCUACUGCUCAGUCUUCUGCUUGGCUGUAGCAAAGCAAGUAGUACAGCAAGUCAGUGCAAUAAGAUAUUAAUCCAAAAAGCCUGUUUUAAUCUUCCUAGCUUUUUUCAAGAAGCAGUCCUACAAGGUAAUAUGACUCCAUAUGUGCAAUAAGUAGAAGCUGCCUGGUUCUGAAGGCCUAUUGCCAUUGAUGCUGGUGGCAUUAGUCCCAGUUUGUUUUCCAUUAAGCAAGAAAGAAGCUUGCCAGGAGUUUAAAAAGGGCCUUUCUGCUACUGAAGCAAAACAUAGUUUCUACUGUGAAGUUUUGGUAGUCUACAAAUCCAGAGCAGCUGGCCAUCUUUUUCUUUUCUGUCAUUUUGCUGGAGGCGUGCUGCCAAGAUCUGAAAUACGCUGUUAAAAAUACAUGGCAUUUUCAAUAGGGAAUUCUAGGUCACUCUGAGGUGAAGCCAUCCACAGGGAGCGAGAAAUGUGUAGGGGGUUGUUGAUUUGCAGCAGCGGCUUCCCAAGGGCAUUCCCUGGGAUCUGGGACAAGACCUACCAGCCUGCUGUUAACGAAACAGCGAUAAGGAGAGGAGAAAAAGGAGACGUUCAGUAUUUAAUUGGGAAAGGUAUGUAAGAAGGAAGAAGACAGAGAGGCUCCUCCUGGCACACAGUGGAUCUUAUCAGAAGCCAAAGCUGAUGGCGGCGAAGGUGCUAAAGGAAACAGCAGAAGAGGGGAUGCGAAGCACCCCACUGUGUCUACAGAGAAGGGCUUUGGAAAACAGCAGCAAAAAUAGCUGCACUGCUUUAUCGUUACUGACGAACGACUGCUGCCCCGCUCACACGCUGCUUUCUCUGGAGAACUUUCAAAUCCGCUGCCCAUGCCGGUGGCUGCCAGAGGCAGACGGGGACUCUUACAGAGAAGGCUUGGUGGCCAGCCAGCCCUGCCAAGCAUUUCGCUCCAUGCCACAAAUAGACGUGCUGAGCAGUCACGACUCCAAACAAGGUGCUUGGCAAAAGCAGCUGCUGCUAGGCAACCUACUCGUGCCACCGUGAAAUAUCACUGCGUCACCGGUGCUUUUGGGAGGCCACGUGCCCCAUCGGGUUAUGCGGGGGGAGGGAUAAGUAAUCACAGUGCAUCCCUCCCCUUCCCUCACAGGUAAGGGUGAUUUAAUUUUAAUUAUACUUAACACAGAUGCUAUGCAACAGUACUCACACGCAAAAUACAGAACAACUAGAAUGGAAGCUUUGAGCCAAAAUAUGCGUGGGCUUGCAGUGCCCUGUGUUGAUUUCUGCACCAACCUUUUAAAGCACUGAUUGACCUUUUGCAUCUUUUUUUUUUUUUAUUGAAAUUAAAACCACUUUCGGGUUCUGUUUAUUGCAAUUGUUUACCUCUUAAGCAAUGAAAUACUUUCCAUGUUAAGCUGGUCUCCUAAGGCAACUUGAAAGAAGGUACAAAUCUUUUCUAUAAUAAAGAUGCACAUUACGGGUAGGAUUUUCACAUGUGCCCAGCACUGCUCUAACUUCUGUUUCUAUUAAAAAUGAUGGAAAACCAUCUUGAAACCACUGUAAUAAGAACUAGGUGAAUUCUGAGCGCUCCUAAAAGUUUCAGCCUUUAGUCUUCACCACAAAAAGCAUGAUUAAACUUAUGUGGUAGGAGUUUAAACCGGGCAAAUGAAAAGGCAGCUCUAGCUGUUUCAUAUACUUCAAUAUAAAUUUAUUCUAAUGUAAACAUGUCCAAAAAAUGCUUUGCUCUCCGCAAACAGAGAAGGUUCACAUUCCAUCUCUCCAUAAGGAAAUUAGUAUAACUGGAAUAAACAGGGAAGCAGAAACUUCCUACAGAGUGUUUUAUCAGCCAUACAAGCACAGUAAAAAAUCAGUCUCUGACAGAAUUCAUAGAAAGGCAGAGCAAUAUUUAACUGUAGCGCUUUCCCGUUGUAAGUAAUACUUCAAAAACUAUUGUAUUUUCUUCCUGCUCAUUAAAAACAUUUCCAAAUGAA